CGGAUUUGAAGGAACGGUAU
rnacentral:rRNA from 1 species